rnacentral:rRNA from 1 species
UACGUAGGCAGCAAGCGUUGUUCGGAGUUACUGGGCGUAAAGGGUGUGUAGGCGGUUGUUUAAGUUUGGUGCGAAAUCUCCCGGCUCAACUGGGAGGGUGCGCCGAAUACUGAAUGACUUCGAGUGCGGGAGAGGAGAGUGGAAUUCCUGGUGUAGCGGUGAAAUGCGUAGAUAUCUGGAGGAACACCGGUGGCGAAGGCGGCAUCCUGGACCAACACUGACACUGAGGAGCGAAAGCCAGGGGAGCAAACGGG